rnacentral:rRNA from 1 species
UACAGAGGUCCCAAGCGUUGUUCGGAUUCACUGGGCGUAAAGGGUGCGUAGGUGGUUAGGUAAGUCCGAUGUGAAAUCUCCAGGCUCAACCUGGAAAUGGCAUUGGAUACUAUCUAGCUUGAGGAGUGGAGGGGGGACUGGAAUUCUCGGUGUAGCAGUGAAAUGCGUAGAUAUCGAGAGGAACACCAGUGGCGAAGGCGAGUCCCUGGACACUUCCUGACACUGAAGAACGAAAGCCAGGGGAGCAAACGGG